rnacentral:rRNA from 1 species
GUCCUAGCCGUAAACGUUGGGUGCUAGGUGUGGGCGGAUAUCGACCCCGUCCGUGCCGAAGCUAACGCAUUAAGCACCCCGCCUGGGGAGUACGGCCGCAAGGCUAAAACUCAAAGGAAUUGACGGGGCCCCGCACAAGCGGCGGAGCAUGCGGCUUAAUUCGAUGCAACGCGAAGAACCUUACCUGGGUUUGACAUGCAGGGUGGAACCCGUGAAAGCGGGCGCUCUUCGGAGCCUGCACAGGUGGUGCAUGGCUGUCGU